rnacentral:rRNA from 1 species
GCCUAGGGUGAGUUCCGUGAUUGGGACUAAGUCGUAACAAGGUAGCCGUAGGGGAACCUGCGGCUGGAUCACCUCCUUUCUAAGGA